AUUGUUUUAUACCCUCUGCAGACUAUCAGGUACUGAUGGAUGUUUCUGACAGCCCUGAGCGAAAUCCCUGCUCUCCUGAUGAAGAGGACCAGCAGCAUUCCAAUGAUGAAGUCCUGAAGGAGAGUUAUUCAGAUCGGGAACUCGAUGGAGAGGGUGGGCAAGGCAGCAUUAUGGGAGAGGAGGAGGAUGCAGCCAGGGGACUGAGUCGUGGUGAAGUGGAGAACCACUCAGAUGAAGAGGACCUCUUAAGUGAAACUAAGUCUCAGGAAUCUGACAACAACAAGCAGAGUGGGGAGCUGAAGAGCCCUCUGCCUUGCAAAGGAGAGGAGGAAGAUCAGACAAAUGACCUUGGUGAUGAAGCAUCCUCUGUCACCCGUGAACUAGAUGAACAUGAGUUGGACUAUGACGAGGAAGUUCUUGAAGAACCAAGUGCUGCUGCUGUAGAGGAGGAUGGUGAGAAAGCUGCUGGUGAGGAUGACAAGGAAGAGGAGAAAGGAGAUGAUGCCCAUGAAGAUGAGAAAAAAUCCAGCAGCAAAAGUGAUGAUGGAAAGGAUGGCCAGGAUCCCCUCAAGGAGAAGAAGAAAGAUGAUGAUGGAGAAAUUGAUGAUGGAGAAAUUGAUGAUGAUGACUUAGAAGAAGGAGAAGUUAAAGACCCCAGUGACAGAAAAGUGAGGCCACGUCCCACCUGCCGAUUCUUCAUGAAAGGUCACUGUACUUGGGGCAUGAACUGUCGAUUUAUUCACCCUGGUGUGAAUGACAAAGGAAACUACUCCUUGAUCUCCAAGCCUGAGCCCUUCUCCCCAAAUGGUGCUCCUCCCAUUGGCCCUCACCCACUGAUGCCAGCCAACCCUUGGGGAGGGCCAGUCGUUGAUGAAAUCUUACCUCCACCCCCCCCAGAACCUCCAACAGAAAGUGCCUGGGAGAGAGGACUCCGGCAUGCUAAAGAGGUAUUAAAAAAGGCGACUAUCAGAAAAGAACAGGAGCCUGACUUUGAGGAGAAGAGGUUCACUGUUACUAUUGGAGAAGACGAACGUGAAUUUGACAAAGAAAACGAGUUCUUCCACGACUGGAAUUACUGCAUCACCAGAGACGUCAGAGAUCCAGCGCUUGAUCCCUAUACAGAUUCCUAUUAUGACUAUGAAAUAGAACGGUUCCGGCGUGGUGGGCAGUAUGAGAAUUUCAGGAUUCAGUAUGCAGACCCAGAUCCAUAUCGUAACCACAGAGAAAGAGAGCGGGAACGGGAGAGAGAGAACAGACAACGAGAAAGGGAACGUGAGAGGGAACGGGAGAGGCGUCAGCGGGAGCGAGAACGGGAAAGGGAACGGGAGCGCGACAAGGAGCGCCAGCGGCGGAAAGAAGAGUGGGAACGGGAGCGAGAACGGGUGAAGAGAGAUGAAAAAGACAGGCAGCACAGGGACCGGGACAGGGACCGGGAAAAGGAGAAAGAAAAAACAAAGCCCCGGUCCUUACUGAUACCUAGCCGUCAACCUGAGACACCAAAGAAGGAGAAGGAGACAGCCACACUUACCACCACUCAGUCCAAGAGAGCAGAUGAAUGGAAGGACCCCUGGCGCCGAUCCAAGUCUCCCAAAAAGAAGCUUGGUGUGUCUGUCUCUCCCAGCCAUGUGCACAGGUGCCGAAAAACCUCUGCUUCUUCAGCAUCUGCUUCUGGCUCUUCAAGGUCCUCUUCUCGUUCAUCCACCUAUUCUGGUUCAGGUUCCUCGCGAUCUCGUUCCAGAUCAUCUUCUUACAGCUCUUACUCUAGUCGCUCUUCAAGACACAGCUCUUUCUCAGGCAGCAGGUCCAGAUCACGGUCCUUCUCAUCUUCACCCUCUCCUUCUCCAACACCAUCUCCACACAAGCCACUUGCGAAGUCUAAAGGGGUGUUGUUACCACCUGCUGGGAAGGGUGAAAAGUCUGUGAAGAAACUAGCUGCCCUUCCAGUCCCUCAGCCACUCACUAAAAUUACAACAGCUGCACCUGAGUCAGCCAAACCAGGGGAUAAUCCAGAGGCAAGAAGGAAGGAACGUCAGACAAGGACUCCACCCAGGAGGCAGACCAUCAGCAGCAGCAUCAGUGGCAGUGCCAGCAGCUACAGUGGUUCCAGUUCCCAAUCUAGGUCCUUGUCUCAGUCUCUCUCCAGAUCUCAUUCUAGGUCAUCAUCUGCAUCAGUCUCCCACUCUCCAUCUGGAUCCAGGAAGUCCAGGUCCCUGAGCAUGAGCAGCGUUUCUUCUGUCUCUAGUGCCUCCUCCAGCAGCAGCUCUGUAAGCAGCGCUGACUCUGAAGACAUGUAUGCGGAUUUGGCCAGUCCUGUUUCCUCAGCCAGCUCCCAAUCCCCAACCCCAGCACAGCAGAAGAAAGGUAGAGGAAAGUCAAAAAAAGAAGAUAGCACUAAAGAGGAGAAGCAGAAACGGGAUGUGCCUGCUCAGCUCCUGAAAUCAGCCAAGCCCACCCAAGGGAGCAAAUCACAGCAGCUCCUCCAGACCCAGGAGCCAUCAGCCCCCCAGUCUCAGCAGGGAGGCUUCAGCACUCACAAAGAGAUCAAACUGACUCUUUUGAAUAAGUCUAAAUUCCCCGUUGCAGUCUAAGGCUGCAGUUUUCUCUACUUCCCUGUGCUAUGACAUGAGGAGCCUUUAUCAAGUCUGUGAAGCAUGCUCCAUGGGGAGAAGUGUGCCAUGACACAUAACUACCACCUGGCAGGGUUGGAUCCUAGAAGAAGGCAUAACUCUACAUGACUCCUUGACAUUUGCUAUCCAUGGUGCUGCUGGAAAAAAUAUUCUACAAAAUGCUGAUAUUUUUUGUUUCUGACCAUUAUGAAAAUAGCCCUAGUGCCAAAGAAUGUUGCUGUUUUCCUACAGUGGUAGGGAAAUUACAUGGUGCCAGUGAUGGUUGAGACUGGUAUGCACAAAACAUUUAAUUGGAGUCACACUUGCAUGAGCCAGCAAGUACAUCAUGGGCACCCAUCACAGGAAAUAUUUCUGCCUGCUUCCCUCCCCAGAGGGAAGUAGCUGCUCAGCUCCAUUGUCUCUUUUAAUUCCAUUUUAGGCAUCUGACAAAGGAAGCAGGAAAAGAUAUGAGCCAGCAGACAAAAACAGGCCAACCUCUCCUCCAGCCAAGCGGGUGAACCUGUCGCCUGACAGAGUAGGCUCUCGUGACAGGAAGGCAACCGGGAGACUCUCUUCACCCAAGGAAGA